CCCUUCACAACUCCUAGAACUUCUCUGGGCCCUGACUACACAGAGGUGUUCAACUGCUUUAUGACUUCUAUGAACACAAUUACACUGAGCCCAUGAAGCUCAGCUGACUAAAUAUUGAAUGCAGGCUAGCGUUUCAGAGCUUCUAGGACUCCCCUGAGGUCUCAUAACACAUGUACUGAAUUCCUUUAGGUGUUCCUGACUCAGCAUUUCACAGAACCCAUGUAGUUCAACUGCUUUAGCAGUCCUGCCUAAAAUGGAUACAAGCAAAGUACUAUGGAUGCUGGAAAUUUGAAAUAAAACCAGAAAAACAGAGCGCUUUUUGAAUAAAGGGAAGAAAAGACCCAAGGAAGAAACUUGGCAGGUUGUGCCAGGUAUUCAUGUAAACAUCUAAAGCUCUUACUGAAGAUUUGACAUGAAAUGUGCAAUGUAGCACACAAAACACUACCAGAUGAAAAUUGUGUUCAAAGUAUUGGGCAGAAACAUGCCUAAGGCUGGCAUACCUCAUUUCCCAUCCUUCCGUAAGUAAACAUGCAGGCAAAUGGUAUGUUGGCUUUCACUGUGACAGCGUGUGUGUACGGGAGCAGCAACUGAAUAGGACCUUGGUGAGACCAAACCUGAGUGUUGUGUGCAGCUUUGGUUUGCUUCUCAGAGGAAGGAUUUUCUGGCUCUGAAGGGAGCACAAUGAAGGUUACUGGAUUGAUUGCUGCUGUGGCAGGACUGAUGUAUGAAGAGAGAUUGGAUUGGAUAGGGCUAUAUUUACUGGAGUUUAGAAUAAUUGAGGGCAGGGGUGAUUUUCAUAGAAUCCUAUAUUAUCCUGAUAGGACUAGGCAAGAUAAAUGCAGGAAUGAUGUUCCUGAUAACUGCAGGGUCUAGAACAAGGGGUCACGGUCUAAGGUUACAGGUUGGCCAUUUAGGAUCAAGAUGAGAACAUAUUUGUUCACCAGAGAGUGGUGACCUUUGGAAUUCUGUGCCACUGAAAGCAAGAGGUGGCUCAGUGGUUAGCAUGCUGCCUCACAUUGCCAGGGACCUGAGUUCGAUUCCAGCCUCAGGUGACUGUCUGUGGCAUUUGUACAUUCUCCCCGUGUUUGUGUGGGUUUCCUGAGUGCUACGGUUUCCUCCCACAGUCCAAAGAUAUGCAGGUUAAUUGGAUUGGCCAUGAUAAGUUGCCCACUGUAUCCAGGGAUGUGUAGACUAGGUGGAUUAGCCAUGGGAAAUGCAGGGAUAGGGUGGGGGGGGGGCGCUGGGUGGGAUGCACUUUGGAGGGUCGGUGUAGAUUCAAUGGGCCAAAUGGCCUGCUUCCACUCUGUAGGGAUUCUACAAUUUGAGGCAAAAAUAUUGAAUGUUUUCAAGAAGGAGAUACAUAUACCUCUCUGGGCUAAAGGGAUCGUAGGGUAUGGAGUGAAAGUGAGAACAGGGUACUGAAUAAGAUGAUGAUCCAAAUAUUGAAUGGCGGAACAGUCUCAAAAAGGCUGAAUGACCUACUGUUGCUCCUAUUUUCUAUGUUUUUUAUGCUUUUUUGAUAUGUUUUUUCUCUAUGCUUGUGUUCUGCCUGUACAGCUGAUAAACACCUUAGCUGUAGCUUUAGAAAGUCAUGGCAUUAUGUGACAGUGAUUUCCUUCAGUAUGGACCAUAUGGUGCCAGCCAUUUGUGAACUGUUUACACCACUGGCACCUAGACAAAGAUACAUCUUUAGGCUGCAGUAGCUCUGCCUGUCAACUAUGAGGCAAAAUUGAACUUUACUUUGAAAGCAUAUGGAAGAACUGAAAGCUAGAUUUGAUUCAUGCUUAAGAAUGUCAGCAAAAUAUUAUGGGACGAAUAUUAAAGCCUCUUACCAGCUGCCA